UACGGGGGGAGCAAGCGUUGUUCGGAUUUACUGGGCGUAAAGGGCGCGUAGGCGGCGCGACAAGUCACUUGUGAAAUCUCUGGGCUCAACCCAGAACGGUCAAGUGAUACUGUCGUGCUAGAGUGCGGAAGGGGCAACUGGAAUUCUCGGUGUAGCGGUGAAAUGCGUAGAUAUCGAGAGGAACACCUGCGGCGAAGGCGGGUUGCUGGGCCGACACUGACGCUGAUGCGCGAAAGCCAGGGGAGCGAACGGG
rnacentral:rRNA from 1 species